rnacentral:rRNA from 1 species
UCAGACGAUGCGUCAUGCAUAUCAAUAAGCGGAGGAAAAGAAACUAACAAGGAUUCCCUUAGUAACGGCGAGUGAAGCGGGAAGAGCUCAAAUUUGAAAUCUUCAAGGUUUUACCUUGACGAAUUGUAGUUUAAAGAAGUGUUUUCUGCUGAAGUUUUGGUAAAAGUUCUUUGGAAUAGGACAUCAUAGAGGGUGAGAAUCCCGUAUUUGACCAUUAUUUUCAGCUGUGUGAUACACUUUCAAAGAGUCGGAUUGUUUGGGAAUGCAGUCCAAAAUGGGUGGUAAAUUUCAUCUAAAGCUAAAUAUUGGCGAGAGACCGAUAGCGAACAAGUACCGUGAGGGAAAGAUGAAAAGAACUUUGAAAAGAGAGUUAAACAGUACGUGAAAUUGUCAAAAGGGAAGCGUUUGACACCAGUGUUGUUUUCUCGAAAAUCAAUUAAAAAGAGUUUGAUUUUGUUGUGUAUUGACCUUAACAGCUUGCAUUUCAAUUUUCUUGCUUUUUUUAAUGCACUUUUCGUUUAACAAGUCAACAUCAGUUUCUUUUGUUGUAAAAAGGUCAUUGGAAGGUGGCUUUCUUUUCGGAGAAAGUGUUUAUAGCCUUUGACUCCUGCAAUCGGAGAGACUGAGGUCUGCAGCGUAGAUCCUUCGGGGUUAGAUACAUUUGUGCUAAGUUAUAGCUUUUUAUAGACAACUUGUUGACUAUGAUUAGUCUUGUAGCUUACUCGCUUAUGCUAUUUUACCUACGCUUAGGAUGUUGAGUCGUAGAGCACGCAG